rnacentral:rRNA from 1 species
CAAUAGCGUAUAUUAAAGUUGUUGCAGUUAAAAAGCUCGUAGUUGAAUUUCUGGCGGGCGCGCCGGUCUUCCAAGUGUUGUACUGGGCGCAGUCCGCCAUCCUUGUGGAGAGGGCUCGCAUUGAGUUGCGUGUCGGAUCUGCAUCAUUUACUGUGAAAAAAUUAGAGUGUUUAAAGCAGGCUGUCGCUUGAAUACAUUAGCAUGGAAUAAUAAGAUAGGACUUCGGUCUAUUUUGUUGGUUGCGAACCGAGGUAAUGAUUAAUAGGGAUAGUUGGGGGUAUUCAUAUUUAAUUGUCAGAGGUGAAAUUCUUGGAUUUAUGAAAGAUGAACAACUGCGAAAGCAUUUACCAAGGAUGUUUUCACUAA